AAAACUGACGUCUCAUUGGCUGGUUCCCACGCAGGCGCGAUUUAUGCAAAAGAAGCCCAUUUUUCCACGCUGAUUUGCUUUUGUCCAACACAUCUGCGGAGUGUGUACGGUGGACAGGCCCUCGGGAGGUGAUCUUGUGAACACUUGCUGAGGAUCCUUGAUGCCGAGUGCAGGAUGUUUCCUACCAGUUUGAAGCCAUGUCUGAAGGGUUCCGAGGUGGAAUGUUCUGCGCUGGCCGAUGGCGGCGUCGGGGGGGGGGGGCACUGCACCGCAUGCCCAUGGUGACGAGGAAACAGCUGACGCAGGCAACAACGGCAUAGACCAACAUCUGAAGGAUGACAGGUGAACAUUUAUUUUUACCUUGAGAUCCUUUAAUCAGCUAUUCAGUAAUUCUAUAUAACUCACCAAAAGUGGGAGUUGUGCCGUGCGAGCGAUCUUUGGAGACGCCAUGUUGGCGAUGAGGAUGCCCAGCGGGUUGGCUGUGGAGGAACAGCGGGCUAAAGAUGAUCACCUCCAUGUCAAGUGUCUCCCAUAAAAUUGCUCAUAGACACCUUGUAACUCACUUGGUCUGCCAGAGCAUAAGACCAUGUAGCAGGAAGGGAUCAGUGUUGCCAACGUAACCACUUUCUUGCUAUAUUGCGUAAUCAGACCUCUUUUUCCAAAAAGUGACUCAUCCAUUGGAAAGACUUUUGUAGACCAUGAAUGCAUGUGACCAGCGAGUGCAUCUGUGGGCCCCUCCCACAUCUAAAAUCACUCUAGGGAUGUAACCAUGAAUGGUAUUAAUGAUAACCGCGGUAAAACACCCCACAGUUAGUAUUACCAUUUUAAAGGGCGGUACAGCUUGGUUGGUAGAGCGGCCGUGCCAGCAACUUGAGGGU